CGGAGGGAUCAUUAAAGAGUUCUAUAACUCCCAAACCCAUGUGAACAUACCUAACGUUGCCUCGGCAGGUCGCACCUACCUUGUAGCACCCUACCCUGUAGGGCCUACCCGGGAGGUGCGGGUAAGCCUGCCGGCGGCCCACCAAACUCUGUUUGAUAUUGAAUUCUGAACCUAUAACUAAAUAAGUUAAAACUUUCAACAACGGAUCUCUUGGUUCUGGCAUCGAUGAAGAACGCAGCGAAAUGCGAUAAGUAAUGUGAAUUGCAGAAUUCAGUGAAUCAUCGAAUCUUUGAACGCAUAUUGCGCCCAUUAGUAUUCUAGUGGGCAGGACCGUUCGAGCGUCAUUUCAACCCUUAAGCCUUCGUUGCUUAGUGUUGGGAGCCUACGGCAACGUAGCUCCUCAAAGUUAGUGGCGGAGUUGGUUCACACUCUAGACGUAGUAAUUUUUUAUCUCGCCUAUUAGUUGGACUAAUCCCCUGCCGUAAAACCCCUAAUUUAUCAAGGUUGACCUCGAAUCGGUUCAGACAAACUCGCUAAAUUGAAGCAUCUUAGUCAGCGAAGGAAAAGAAACCAACAGGGAUUGCCCUAGUAACGGCGAGUGAAGCGGCAACAGCUCAAAUUUGAAAUCUGGCCCUCGGGUCCGAGUUGUAAU
rnacentral:rRNA from 1 species